UGGGGAAUAUUGGACAAUGGGCGAAAGCCUGAUCCAGCCAUGCCGCGUGUGUGAAGAAGGUCUUCGGAUUGUAAAGCACUUUAAGUUGGGAGGAAGGGCAGUAAGCGAAUACCUUGCUGUUUUGACGUUACCGACAGAAUAAGCACCGGCUAACUCUGUGCCAGCAGCCGCGGUAAUACAGAGGGUGCAAGCGUUAAUCGGAAUUACUGGGCGUAAAGCGCGCGUAGGUGGUUCGUUAAGUUGAAUGUGAAAGCCCCGGGCUCAACCUGGGAACUGCAUCCAAAACUGGCGAGCUAGAGUAGGGCAGAGGGUGGUGGAAUUUCCUGUGUAUCGGUGAAAUGCGUAGAUAUAGGAAGGAACACCAGUAGCGAAGGCGACCACCUGGGCUCAUACUGACACUGAGGUGCGAAAGCGUGGGGAGCAAACAGG
rnacentral:rRNA from 1 species